rnacentral:lncRNA from 1 species
AUGCAGCCAGGGCAGGCCCACGUGCCAGGGCCAAGCUCUGUGCCUGGGAUUCGUGGGGAGCGCAGGGCAGAGGGCACGGGGCGUGGAGGAAGCGGGCAACGCCGGCUCAGGAGAGGGAGGCCCGGGCGGCCUAGCGGACACCCGGCGGGCCCCGACCGCGCCUGCGGCCUCGCCCCGAGCCCCCGCCCCCAGGGCCAGCGGUGCCUCCGCGGGGUCCGAGGGCUCGGCGGUCCGUCCCUGCCCCGCGCUCCCGCCGCCCCCGUCCCCCUCCCACACAGGCCCGUGCGCCCGGCGGCAGGGCGCCCUGCCUCCCGGCCUGCCCGCCUGCUGGCGUGGGUGUCGAGCGCGCUUCCAGCCUCGCCCUCCGCCCUCCGCCCUCCGCCGGGUCCCGGGGGCGACCCCGGCGGCCGCCCCGCGCUGCGGAAGCCUCGAAGCCCGCGGCGGCGCGGCCAGGCCCGGGGGGCGCGGACGGCGGGGCCGGGGGGAGGCGCGGGGCCGACGGGCAGGCGGGCGGGGCUGCGGCAGCGCGGGGCCGGGGCCGGGGCCCGGGCCGGGGCCGGGGGUAGGGAGGGAGGGAGGGAGGGAGGGAGGCCGCCGCCGCCGGCACCGGGGCGCGCGGGCCGCAGGUCCACCCCGCCGGCCCCGCCCCGCCCGCCCCGCCCCUGCGCGCGGACCCGGCCGAGGCGGAGCGGCGCGCCCCCCGCGACGCCCGAGCCGAGCCCGAGCCCGAGCCCGAGCCCGAGCCCGAGCCCGAGCGCAGAGGCAUCCGAGCGGGAACGAGAGCGGGAGCGGGAGCGGGAGCGGGAGCCGGAGCGGGAGCCGGAGCGGGAGCCGGAGCCGGAGCGCGAGCGGGAGCCGGAGCCGGAGCCGGAGCCGGAGCGGGACCCGGACCCCGAGCGGGAGCCGAAGCUGGAGCCGGUACCGCGGCUCGCCGAGCGGAGCAAGGCGGCCAAGCCGAGUAAGGGGCGCGGGGCCGGGCCGGGGCGGUGCUGGGCGGGGCGGGCAGGGGGUCCCGGCGCCCUCCCCGCGCUCGCGGCGGCCCCGGCGCACGCACACACCCCGGGCGCUCGGCGCGGAGCCCCGGCGCGGGCAGGGCGGACGGGCGGCCCGGAGCCGAGCCCGGCGCGCUCCUCUCGGGGCCCCCGCGCCCCCGCCCCCGGCCCCAGCACCCCGGCCGGCCGCCGGGCCACGGGGCGGGGAAGGUCCCCGGAGCGCGGCCUCGGGGCCCCCAACAGCCCACCCAAGAAGGGGGAACUAAGACGCGCUGUCGGCGGGGGGCGAGGGGAGGGGCUCCGGCCUCGACGACUUGGAAGCGGCAGCCCCCCGCGGCCGCGGCCGGAGCCCGACCCUCCGACGGGCGGGUGGCGGGCGGGCGCGCAGCUCCGCGCGGGGGAGAGGGGCGCCCCCGCCGCGCCCUGCUCCGUCGGGCGCACCUCCCCGCUGCGCGCCGGGGGACGCGCGGGGUCCAGGCCCGGCCCCGGCCGACUGCGCAGCGCCCGGCGGCGCACACGCCUGUCCCCCGCGCCCUCGGAGGCCGGGCCGUGCCCACCCCGCCCCGCCCCGCCCCACCCCGGCCUCGCGCGGCCCUGCCCCCCGCGGCCCCGAGGCGGGUGCGCAGACGACCCGGCGCUGCCCUCCGGGUGUCGCGGCGGCCAAGGCCUGAGUGACAGGUGUGCGAGGCAGGGGCCCCGGGAGCCCGACCCCCGGUCUCCACCCGCACGGCCCCACGGGCGCCCGCCUCUGGGGUGCCCCGCAGGACUCCCUCCCCAGACAGCCUGA